rnacentral:rRNA from 1 species
CCUACGGGCGGCAGCAGUGGGGAAUAUUGGGCAAUGGGCGCAAGCCUGACCCAGCAACGCCGCGUGAAGGAAGAAGGCUUUCGGGUUGUAAACUUCUUUUCUCAGGGACGAAGCAAGUGACGGUACCUGAGGAAUAAGCCACGGCUAACUACGUGCCAGCAGCCGCGGUAAUACGUGGGUGGGAAGCGUUAUCCGGAUUUACUGGGGGAAAAGGGCGUGUAGGCGGGAUGCCAAGUCAGCGGUAAAAUCGCGGGGCUCAACCUCGCUGCGCCGUUGAAACUGGCGUUCUUGAGUGGGCGAGAGGUAUGCGGAAUGCGUGGUGUAGCGGUGAAAUGCAUAGAUAUCACGAGGAACACCGAUUGCGAAGGCGACAUACCGGCGCCCAACUGACGCUGAAGCACGAAAGCGUGGGUAUCGAACAGGAUUAGAUACCCUGGUAGUC